rnacentral:tRNA from 1 species
CAUCUUUGAGAAAUUAUUAUAAUACUUAAGUAUUUACGGAGCUUAACAACCCCUCAAAGCGU